GGUGAACGCUGGCGGCGUGCCUAAUACAUGCAAGUCGAGCGAACGGACGAGGAGCUUGCUUCUCUGAUGUUAGCGGCGGACGGGUGAGUAACACGUGGAUAACCUACCUAUAAGACUGGGAUAACUUCGGGAAACCGGAGCUAAUACCGGAUAAUAUUUUGAACCGCAUGGUUCAAAAGUGAAAGACGGUCUUGCUGUCACUUAUAGAUGGAUCCGCGCUGCAUUAGCUAGUUGGUAAGGUAACGGCUUACCAAGGCAACGAUGCAUAGCCGACCUGAGAGGGUACUCGGCCCCACUGAACCUGGGCACCGGUCAAGCCCCCUCCGGGGGGCAGAGGUGGGGAAUCUUCCGCAAUGGGCGAAAGCCUGACGGAGCAACGCGGCGUGAGUGAUGAAGGUCUUCGGAUCGUAAAACUCUGUUAUUAGGGAAGAAAAUAUGUGUAAGUAACUGUGCCCAUCUUGACGGUACCUAACCAGAAAGCCACGGCUAACUACGU
rnacentral:rRNA from 1 species